rnacentral:lncRNA from 1 species
AACUCUUUUCAGUGAGGACUUGCUGCCUAGCUACUCAGAUUGUAGACAAUGGAUAGCUUGGAGCUGUUAACUCCUUCAGGUUGCUUUCCCAGGGCAGCUGGUAUUUGGCUAUUUAUGAAGAAAGAAAAGGAGUGUUGCCCAUGAAAUAGGAGAUCACUAAAGAUGAGGGGAAGCAGAAGCUUAUCAGCUGCUUUUUCAAAUGUUAUGGAAAGGCUGUUUGUGGCAUACUUUGGUAAGAAGAGAGUGCCUGGAAACUCCUGGUGUGUAAGAAGAACCCAAAGCAUCACACAGGAAAAUGAAAUCAAGUUAAACAAAGAAAAAUCCAAAGUGCCCACCCACAUUUUCCAGAAUAUCAGUGCUAUCAUUGACAGACCUUAGCAGAAGGAAAAGGAGGGGAAGUUUUAACUACUUGUGAAGAUUGGGACAUGCAGAUUUUAAUUUUUAUACAGAAACCAUAUUGCAACUUUAAUAAUGAUGUUUAAAGUUUCUUUAAUGACAUUGUUAAUAAGAGUCAACAGAAAACUCAUGGAAAUUUCUGAGUUUUCAACCAGAAAUUUACUACCAGGAAUGAAAGGAGGAGAAAUUUACUACACAUAUAUUUAAAGGAUGACUAGAAAAAAACAAAAGUUUGCAUUAUGAUUAAAUCAUUAAUUAUGCCUGCUCUCCAUCAUACAAUGAAGUAAAAAUUAGAUGAACAAGUGAAAAAUAAAAUAUCUCUCAUUCCAUUGGAUUAACUAGUACUCUGGAUUUUGUUUUCAGCUUUUUCUCACAUUUUGUUAUAGUCUUAGGUAUAUCAGGGGAGUUUGUAAUUUCCUUGGUUCUUGGUUUUGUCACAGCAAAAUUUUGAAACAACAGAUGAAUCAGUGUUACAACUCAGUUUCAUUUAGAAAGUAAAGGAAAAUACACCCUCGAGGAAUGAGGGUGGGCAGACCCAGAAGUGGGACCUCAAUCCUUCUAGGCUUCCUCCUUUUAUACAUUUGUCUCCUUCCCACUGAGCCUGCGCUAUGUAAAUUGGGCUAGCUAGGAGGGCUGUUUGUUUUACCUGAGGCCCUCACUCUGUUUCUGGGACUUUCCUUUGUUCUAUUUUCACAGGCUUUUCCCUCUUUCGUCUUUUAGCCACCACCAUUUUGGACUCGUUUCUCCUAUUCUACCUACCUAUCAGGUAUAUGUGUGUUUUCC